rnacentral:rRNA from 1 species
CCAGACUCCUACGGGAGGCAGCAGUGGGGAAUUUUGGACAAUGGGCGCAAGCCUGAUCCAGCCAUGCCGCGUGUCUGAAGAAGGCCUUCGGGUUGUAAAGGACUUUUGUUGGGGAAGAAAAGGGGACGGUUAAUACCCGUUUCUGCUGACGGUACCCAAAGAAUAAGCACCGGCUAACUACGUGCCAGCAGCCGCGGUAAUACGUAGGGUGCGAGCGUUAAUCGGAAUUACUGGGCGUAAAGCGGGCGCAGACGGUUACUUAAGCAGGAUGUGAAAUCCCCGGGCUCAACCCGGGAACUGCGUUCUGAACUGGGUGACUAGAGUGUGUCAGAGGGAGGCAGAAUUCCACGUGUAGCAGUGAAAUGCGUAGAUAUGCGGAGGAACACCGAUGGCGAAGGCAGCCUCCUGGGAUAACACUGACGCUCAUGCACGAAAGCGUGGGGAGCAAACAGGAUUAGAUACCCUGGUAGUCCACGCCCUAAACGAUGUCUACUAGUUGUCGGGGAUUAAUUUCCUUGGUAACGCAGCUAACGCGUGAAGUAGACCGCCUGGGGAGUACGGUCGCAAGAUUAAAACUCAAAGGAAUUGAGGGGGCCCGCACAAG